UUUAUAUGUAGUUCAGGAGCUUGCUUAUCAAUUUUUGCACAACCGAAGAAGAAAAAGAAAAGAAUAAGAUAUCUGUAAAGAUAUUUGUUUUCAAGAGUUUGAUUUCCUGUAUAAAUUAAUGCACAGAUCACUGGUUGUAUAUAGUGAGGAUCAUUUAUGCUUGCAUGUGCAUGCAUUUUUCAAGAAUAUUCUUUCCCAUACAAACUG
rnacentral:misc_RNA from 1 species